rnacentral:rRNA from 2 species
CCCUGGCUCAGAUUGAACGCUGGCGGCAGGCCUAACACAUGCAAGUCGAGCGGCAGCACGGGUACUUGUACCUGGUGGCGAGCGGCGGACGGGUGAGUAAUGCCUAGGAAUCUGCCUGGUAGUGGGGGAUAACGUUCGGAAACGGACGCUAAUACCGCAUACGUCCUACGGGAGAAAGCAGGGGACCUUCGGGCCUUGCGCUAUCAGAUGAGCCUAGGUCGGAUUAGCUAGUUGGUGGGGUAAUGGCUCACCAAGGCGACGAUCCGUAACUGGUCUGAGAGGAUGAUCAGUCACACUGGAACUGAGACACGGUCCAGACUCCUACGGGAGGCAGCAGUGGGGAAUAUUGGACAAUGGGCGAAAGCCUGAUCCAGCCAUGCCGCGUGUGUGAAGAAGGUCUUCGGAUUGUAAAGCACUUUAAGUUGGGAGGAAGGGCAGUUACCUAAUACGUGAUUGUCUUGACGUUACCGACAGAAUAAGCACCGGCUAACU